rnacentral:sRNA from 1 species
CAGCCUCCCGAGUAGCUAGGACUAUAGGCACGUGCCACCAUGCCUGGCUAAUUAAAAUUUUUUUUGUAGAGACAGGGGUCUCACUAUGUUGCCCAGGCUGGUGUUGAACUCCUGGACUCAAGCAAUCCUCCUGCCUCAGCCUCCCAAAGUGUUGGGAUUACAGGCAUGAGCCACAGCACCUGGCCUGUUUUCUCCGUUUUAAUGAAGUGAGAAAUGCAUCUUGAUGGGAUAACUGCAGGUCAGGGCUCUGGAUCAGGAUGAUAUCAAGUGAUCUCACACUGAACCAAUAUAAUUUCCAUGUGGAACCAAAGACUCACUGAGAGUUUUAUGUGACCUCUGCAGUUUUCUCUUGGAUAUGUGUAUAAUUUUUAGUGAGAUUUUGAAAGGUAUCCCAGGUCAGAAUACCCUGUGCUGUAGUGCGACCCUCCUGAUCAUUGCUCCUUAUUCUCUCUUGUUCCAGUGAACAAGGGGAGAAGAAUUGCCUUCAGCUCCACAUCGUUACUGAAAAUGGCCCCCAGCGCUGAGGAGAGGACCACCAUACAUGAGAUGUUUCUCAGCACACUGGAUCCAAAGACUAUAAGUUUUCGGAGUCGAGUUUUGCCCCCUAAUGCAGUGUGGAUGGAGAAUUCAAAACUGAAGAGUUUGGAAAUUUGCCACCCUCAGGAGCGGAACAUUUUCAAUCGGAUCUUUGGUGGUUUCCUUAUGAGGAAAGCAUAUGAACUUGCGUGGGCUACUGCUUGUAGCUUCGGUGGUUCUCGACCGUUUGUGGUAGCAGUGGAUGAUAUCAUGUUUCAGAAACCUGUUGAGGUUGGCUCAUUGCUCUUUCUUUCUUCACAGGUAUGCUUUACUCAGAAUAAUUACAUUCAAGUCAGAGUACACAGUGAAGUGGCUUCCCUGCAGGAGAAGGAGCAUACAACCACCAAUGUCUUUCAUUUCACGUUCAUGUCGGAAAAAGAAGUGCCAUUGGUUUUCCCGAAAACAUAUGGAGAGUCCAUGUUGUACUUAGAUGGGCAGCGGCAUUUCAACUCCAUGAGUGGCCCAGCGACCUUGAGAAAGGACUACCUUGUAGAGCCCUAGGAACACCACAUUUGUUGAAAACUAGCACUCCACCCACAGUGACGUGGUAUCUGAUGAAGACCUGAUCGAGUGUAUUGAUUUUAGUGUUGCUUCGUGUCCUCCAUACAGGAGGAGGAUGUAUUCAAUCUUUAGGAUGAUCAGAAAAGCAGAACGAGAGAGUGGCCAGAUGGGGCUGAGGGGAGAAAGAAUUAUUAAACAAUAAAUACUUUCAAAACAA